AUGGCCGCACCGAGCCCGGGGCCCCGCGAGGUCCUGGCCCCCUCCCCAGAGGCUGGAUGCAGAGCAGCCACCUCGACCUCUGGCCGCUGUGGCCUCCUCUGGCGUCUCCGAGACAAGCAGGCUCGCAUUGGCCUGUUUGAGAUUGGCCCGGGGCAUGAGCUGCACCAGCUGACAUGCAUGAUGCAGGCAGGGCUGUGGGCUGCCACCCAGGUCUCCAUGGACCACCCAACCACAGGACCACCCACUGAGGAGGAUUUCUCUGAGGUCCUGACCCAGGUUCACGAGGGCUUCGAGCUGUGCACCCUGGCUGGCCCAGCCUUCUCCUGGCUGCGCCGCUCCCUAGGCCUGGCAGAGGAGGACUACCAGGCGGCGCUAGGCCCGGGUGGCCCCUACCUGCAGUUCCUCAGCACCUCCAAGAGCAAGGCCAGCUUCUUCCUGUCCCACGACCAACGCUUCUUCCUGAAGACCCAGCGGCGUCGGGAGGUGCGGGCGCUGCUCGCCCAUCUGCCCCGAUACGUGCAGCACCUGCAGCGGCACCCGCACUCGCUGCUUGCACGGUUGCUGGGAGUGCACAGUCUGCGGGUGGCUCGGGGAAAGAAGGAAUUCUUCAUCAUCAUGCUGAGCGUCUUCUACCCCGCCGGCCGCAUCUCUGAGAGGUACGAUAUAAAGGGCUGUGAGGUGAGCCGCUGGGUGGAGCCAGCCCCUGAGGGCAGCCCCCUUGUCCUGGUGCUGAAGGACCUCAACUUUCAAGGCAAGACCAUUGACCUAGGGCCCCAGCGGAGCUGGCUCAUCCACCAGAUGGAACUGGACACCGCCUUCCUCCGGGAGCUCAACGUGCUCGAUUACAGCCUUCUGAUGGCCUUUCAGCGUCUCCACGAAGAUGAGAGGGGCCCUGGCAGCAGCCUCAUCUUCCGCACAGCCAGGUCUGUGCGAGGGGCGCAGAGCCCCGAGGAGCCGGGAGCCCAGAACCGCCGGCUGCUGCCGGACUCCCCCAACGCCUUACACAUCCUGGACGGGCCGGAGCAGCGCUAUUUCCUGGGCCUCGUGGAUCUCGCUACUGUCUACGGGCUCCGCAAGCGGCUGGAGCACCUGUGGAAGACGCUGCGCUACCCGGGCCGGACCUUCUCCACCGUCAGCCCCGCCCGCUACGCCCGUCGCCUCUGCCAGUGGGUGGAAGCGCACACCGAGUGACCCGCGUCCGGACCGUGGGCGCGCGCGGGGAACCGGGGUUCCAGGCUGGCCCGGGCGGCCGGUCGGGCUCCCCUCGCCUGCCGUUCCUCCCUUUGGCCUCCAGAGGGCAGCAUCCCCUAACUAAAAACGAUGACGACACAGCCUCCUCCGGUGGUGAUGCCAUGUUUGGCUUUGUGCCAGGGACUCCCCCACAUUAGCUCAUCUCAUCCUCAAAAAACUGCUAUUACUUUCUUUUUACAGACCAUAAGAUGGAGGCUCAGGGGGUGAAGGGACUGAGCACGAGCAUUCAGCAAUAAAUGCUGGAACCAGGACUCGACUAUGCCUUUUGGACUCAGGAGCCUGUGUUCUUACUCACCAGUUCCCUGUCCUCAUGCUCCAGGGAAGGGGGGAGGCUGAAGGCUCCAGCCAAGCGCCUUUGCCGUCCAGAUGGGGAAACAGGCUCAGAGACUUUAAGGCGCUUACCCAUGGGAAACUACAGCCUGGCCUCUGACCCUGGUCCAAUCCAACCAUACCCAAGUGGGCCUUUCUUCUAGAGUUUCUCUGGGGCCUGGUUGUGUGACCAGGGCAAGGUGCUAAACCUCUCUAUGCCUCAGUGUUCUAAUCUGUAAAAUGAAAGGAUGAAAAUGGA